UAACUUUGAUCACUCUUAAAGUAGUCCUGCCU
rnacentral:piRNA from 1 species